rnacentral:piRNA from 1 species
UGGCUUCUGGGUGUUUAUUACUGAAG